rnacentral:lncRNA from 1 species
CUGCAUGGAGGCUGCCGGAGUUGCUUCCUGCUCCGUGCUCCCACACCGUUCUUCAGCUGACCAAGUAGUGACAGCAGGACUCCAGGGUUCUGUCCCUGUGCGGCAAAGCACACACUUUCAGUGCUGCGGUUGAUGCUUGAGACGCUCAGUGGGAGCCCCGUUUAACCGGACAGAGGAUGACUUUCUUCUCUGGAGUGCUCUGGGUCACGCUUGGGGACACAUGAAGGAUACGCCCUCCCUUUCAGGCUCCCAUCGCACGUUGAACCUGGCUUGUGAACACAGCCCUCUGGGACACUACUAGGAACAAAGUGUUCCGGAUGCUGCAGAAGCUCAGCUGCCACCUGGAAAACCUGUUUGGCCACUUUAGGUCCAGAUGACGGGAGCCAGUCCGGCUCAGGAGAACAGAGCUGGCCCAGUAACACCUCGCUUCCUCCCUGCUGCAGAGACCUGGGAGGGCCCUGCCCAGCACAGCACACUGGAGUGGCCCUGCGGCAGCAUCUGGGCUGCUGUACCCAUGGUGCCUCCCAGCCCGAGGGGCUCCCGGCAGCUCUGGAGACUCCUGCUGUCACGUCACCUGGCCCCUCACCAUCACCAUCCUCAUCUCUCUUGGGAAUUAAGACAUUGAAGGAACUGCUGCUGCCAGCAAGAGAGGCUGUUGCAAGAAAGAAAGGCUGCUGCAAGAAACGCAAGAAAGGCUGCUGCCAGCAUUGCAUUUCUGUCAAGAAGCUGCCCCGCAAAAUUUAUGGAUGUAUCGCUGUAUGCACCUAAUAGCAAGCUCUACUGGAUGAAUGGCUUAUAAAGAUCUCCCCUGAAUAAAAUUGUGGUUUUUAACUUU